GAUGGGAGCUUGCUCCCUGAUGUUAGCGGCGGACGGGUGAGUAACACGUGGGUAACCUGCCUGUAAGACUGGGAUAACUCCGGGAAACCGGGGCUAAUACCGGAUGGUUGUUUGAACCGCAUGGUUCAAACAUAAAAGGUGGCUUCGGCUACCACUUACAGAUGGACCCGCGGCGCAUUAGCUAGUUGGUGAGGUAACGGCUCACCAAGGCGACGAUGCGUAGCCGACCUGAGAGGGUGAUCGGCCACACUGGGACUGAGACACGGCCCAGACUCCUACGGGAGGCAGCAGUAGGGAAUCUUCCGCAAUGGACGAAAGUCUGACGGAGCAACGCCGCGUGAGUGAUGAAGGUUUUCGGAUCGUAAAGCUCUGUUGUUAGGGAAGAACAAGUACCGUUCGAAUAGGGCGGUACCUUGACGGUACCUAACCAGAAAGCCACGGCUAACUACGUGCCAGCAGCCGCGGUAAUACGUAGGUGGCAAGCGUUGUCCGGAAUUAUUGGGCGUAAAGGGCUCGCAGGCGGUUUCUUAAGUCUGAUGUGAAAGCCCCCGGCUCAACCGGGGAGGGUCAUUGGAAACUGGGGAACUUGAGUGCAGAAGAGGAGAGUGGAAUUCCACGUGUAGCGGUGAAAUGCGUAGAGAUGUGGAGGAACACCAGUGGCGAAGGCGACUCUCUGGUCUGUAACUGACGCUGA
rnacentral:rRNA from 1 species